AAGAAAAAAACGGCAUGGCGCUGCGUGCGGCCGUGGUAGUUUCGGUCUUUUUCCGUGCACAGCGAGCAUGCUUCGCCCAUUUCGUCAGCGUCGCGCUCCAGCGUUGCAGUUUUGUUGGUUUCGUUGCGUGGCUUGUCAAGUUUAGAUUGAAAAAUACCAAAAUGACGUGCCAGUGUGCGUUGAGAUUGACCUGUCGGCCGGACACCUUUCCCACUGGUAUUAGCACUGCACAGAAGCAUCGAGCGCGGCAUACCUGGAAGGUGCUUGGUAAACCUGGUCGAGUGAGCGAGGCGGCCUGUCGUCGUACGCGGAAGCCCGACGGGGCAGUCGCGAACACCUCUUUCUGCGCGUCGUUGUGAACGUGAGGCGGAGCCGCUGGAAAGGUUCUCAUCACGCCAGGGCCAGUCUUCACACGAACGCAAGCACAAGCGUUUCCAGGUGCUCGAGACAGUGGCCGUCAUGAAAGAUCUUCGAAGUCAACGACCCUUCGGACCACUGUCCGGAGUCAACGCGUACCUCGUCGGCAUGGUUCUCGGAAUCAAGUUGCCAAAGCGUGGGGCUUGGACAUCGUCAUUGCGUGGUGCAUUUGUAGACCCCAUUGAGCACCUCGUCCAUGCUCACCAGCGGAUGAUACGCUAACGCGUUCUCCUCUCUGGAAAUAUCGGCUUGAAGGCAAGCGAUGUGGACGACGGCUUGAGCCGGCUCUACAAACGGCCCAAGGCGUCGGCUCAAGGGCAGCAGCAGUGUCAACCCAACUGUAUCGUUUCAUGUGGUGCCGCGCAAUAUGAGCCCUGUCAUUCGCAAUGGCUCAAUGCUGUGCCCAUGAUUAGACGGCAGAAGAAGGAGCCAGAGAAACCAAUGCUAUCUUCUCUGCACUUCUCGCCAUCGGAUUAUGUGUACAAUCCUGCGCUCGGGAAGGCUCUUGGUGUGCCCAAAAGGGGAGUCCUCUAGCGAUCAGCUCUGCCGUCCAGUCUUUCCCGCCACAGGUGCCCUUGCAGAAGCAAACCAGCGUCUCGGUGAGUGUUGAAUCCCACUUAUGAUCGCCACCGUAAACGUAUACUGAGUAGGCGCGCCACUUUUUCCUCUUGUUUGGUUUUUCAGCUAGGUUGCUAUUGCCGAGUCUGCGAUCGAGAGCGACGCGGCUGGUGUAACUGUGGAAAUCCAGACUGGGGUCGAUGAUUCCUACAUGGGACACUACUAGGAUGAUGGAGUCGGCUGCCCCAUGGAAAUACACUCAGAGGUGCUGCCUAUUUGUCAGUACCAGUGGAUUGCUGAAGCAAAAGGAUUCUUCCCGGUGCCCUGCAAGUGGCACAACUGGCCGCAGCAUUGGACUUGAUAAAAGUGGGCAAGUUCAUGUGCGAGGCAUAAGUGUUGAUGGUGUGGAUACAGAAGACGCUCGGCCUUCGAGUUAUUACAUCGUCUUUCAUACAUGUCUGAUGGUGCUCUUGAACCUCUGCCACACAUGCCUCUCUACUGCCUGCACUGUGAAGCUUCGGAACUCUGAGACUCGCAUCACAGCAAGAGUCAAGUGCCCUAACACACACACGUACACAUGGUGAUGUCAACCUCUUGUUGGCGACAAGCCAAAGGGGAGCAUUGACUUGGCCACAGCAUUGCUGUUUUAUGGAUUGAGUGUUGCCUCCAGCCUAUGAAUGAUGCGUUUUAUGGGUCUCCAAGCAGUCAUUGAGCAAUCCUUCUUCUGAAGUAAGGCAUGUUGUUGGUAUAGUUGGUUCAUAAAUUUAUAAGAACGUUUAAACUGCACGAAGAAGACACGUUAGAAACAUAUAACAUGCACACACAUGAAGUGCAGACAUUCAAGUGUGUUUAUUUCUUGAAGGUAAAACAUUUAUAAGAGUUGACAGAGAGCAAUUGCACUGAUAGUCUAACAGGCUGCGAAAAUGUGGCAAGACUUCGGGCACGUUACAAUUCCAGAAGGGUCCAUCUUAGAUGUGACCAUCUAAGAAAUUUAUUUCCUUUUGUCUUUUUUUGCUAUGAAGAAAACCUUGAUGACAUCGUUCUGUUCUCGUUUUUGCCUUAGAGAGGGAUUUAGUUUUUUCCAGCUGAGGAAAACAGCUCAUGCUGUCGCAGUUCUUGCAUUGUAAGGCAAGAUUACUGUCCGAGCCAGUGCGCAUGGAUUGCUUGUGUUCCUGCGCGCAUUCAUUGAAGCAGCGGCCGGUUUGACCAAUAUAUGACCGACCACAGGACAAAGGAAUUUAAUAAAUAAUAUUUGAUAUGCAUUUUGUGUACUUAUUCUUGCAGUCCUUUGUGCACAAGCCUUACUCGUUUUUCCCUUUAGUCAGCAGAGGGCACACUCUUUUAAGUUUGCAUGACACUAAAAACACGACGCGAAUUUCGUACCUUUCUGCUACCUUUUCGAUGUGUGAUAGGCAAUGCAAAUAUGGCAUAACUUAAGGUGGUUGUUGAAUCAAGGGUUGCUGUUUCCUUUCUCUAGAUUUUAUUUUCUGAAGUAGGCUUUCAGAAGUGCUGCGGAUUAGGUGAUCUGGGUAACCAGCGGACAGCAGGCACUCAAGCUGGCUGUUGAAACUGGCUACAGCUGUGUGUGCACAGGAUUUCUGCAGGGCUGAGAGGAAGCUAAUGAUGCCUUGCUUCAUAAGUUUGGAGCUUGCGCUCUUGUAAUGCAACAGACUUUUGUUAGACCUUGGGUUGUACGACCAGCAAACGAGGGUGUCGGUGAAAUGCAGUUUAAAAUCUAGAAACUGGGUGCAGUUGAUCUUGGUCGACAAACUGUUCGAAGUACGGAGCACAGCUAUGUUUAGACACGAAGUGGAACUACGGGUGCUUUGUGACGCAUCCUUCAGGCUGCGCAGCAGUGACAGGGUCUCCCAUCUCUCGACAGCAGAGGCACUCCUCGCUGAAGUUGUCGAGUACCACGCAAUGUUCGCAGUCGCACCUGAAACAGCACCAAACAAGCGAUCAAAAAUUUCGCGUUGGGCUGCAUACAUAAGAUAGUGCACGCAAUACAUAGCUGCUGGAGGCGCCUUUUUGCGUAAGGUAUCGUUGGUCGGAAGCUGCGCAUGACAAGGUAACAGGGAUCAUUCGGUCGAAAUGGAGCCCGAUUAAGAUCCAAUUCCUUGAUCAAAAUUUAAAUAGCUUCAUUCUUCACUUACUCCCGUAAACACACAGGGACAAGAAGAGACUUACGAGGACAGGCGCGAUCUAACAACUGAUUAAGUUUCGGAAUAUGCACAUAUUUAACAGCCCACUGUUCUGCUUGAACAGGUUAAAAACACCAAAAACAUGAAACGCACACACUGCAUCACAUGAGCACACGCCUUAACGUACUGAUAUCAGCGACAACUCUUUUGCAAGCAAAGCAAUCUUAACUCUUUUCUUGUCCCUGUGUGUUUGCGCGAGUAAGUGAAAAAUGAAUUUGUUCCAACUAGGCCGAAUCGCAGCUUUGUUUAAAUAGCUUCCUUGUGGUGUCAGUCGUAAUAAAUAAGUUCUAUCCUGGUCUGGGUGAGUUGGUGUCGUUUGACGUACAAUACAGGUGUCGCAAGGUGCGCUUAUGACAGUUAUCGAGUCCAAUUGGAAUCGAUUUUUUUAAUCGUGACCGGCUCCCGGUUGCGGUCCCUA